rnacentral:rRNA from 1 species
AGCGUACACGGUGGAUGCCUAGGCAAUCAGAGGCGAUGAAGGACGUGCUAAUCUGCGAAAAGCGUCGGUAAGGUGAUAUGAACCGUUAUACCCGACGAUAUCCGAAUGGGGAAACCCAGUAUCCAAUGGAUACUAUCAUUAACUGAAUCCAUAGGUUAAUGAGGCGAACCGGGAGAACUGAAACAUCUCAGUACCCCGAGGAAAAGAAAUCAACCGAGAUUCCCCUAGUAGCGGCGAGCGAACGGGGAGCAGCCCAGAGUCUUAAUCAAUAACAGUGUCAGGAGAACGGUCUGGAAAGUCCGGCAGUAAAGGGUGAUAGCCCCGUAUCUGAAGAUGCUGUUGUUGUGAACUCGACGAGUAGGGCGGGACACGUGUUAUCCUGUCUGAAUAUGGGGGGACCAUCCUCCAAGGCUAAAUACUCCUGAUUGACCGAUAGUGAACCAGUACCGUGAGGGAAAGGCGAAAAGAACCCCGGCGAGGGGAGUGAAAAAGAACCUGAAACCGUGUACGUACAAGCAGUAGGAGCCUCUUUAUGGGGUGACUGCGUACCUUUUGUAUAAUGGGUCAGCGACUUAUAUUCUGUAGCAAGGUUAACCGUAUAGGGGAGCCGUAGGGAAACCGAGUCUUAACUGGGCGAAUGAGUUGCAGGGUAUAGACCCGAAACCCGGUGAUCUAUCCAUGGGCAGGUUGAAGGUUGGGUAACACUAACUGGAGGACCGAACCGACUAAUGUUGAAAAAUUAGCGGAUGACUUGUGGAUGGGGGUGAAAGGCCAAUCAAACCGGGAGAUAGCUGGUUCUCCCCGAAAGCUAUUUAGGUAGCGCCUCGUGAACUCAUCUUCGGGGGUAGAGCACUGUUUCGACUAGGGGGUCAUCCCGACUUACCAACUCGAUGCAAACUGCGAAUACCGAAGAAUGUUAUCACGGGAGACACACGGCGGGUGCUAACGUCCGUCGUGAAGAGGGAAACAACCCAGACCGCCAGCUAAGGUCCCAAAGUCAUGGUUAAGUGGGAAACGAAGUGGGAAGGCUCAGACAGCCAGGAUGUUGGCUUAGAAGCAGCCAUCAUUUAAAGAAAGCGUAAUAGCUCACUGGUCGAGUCGGCCCGCGCGGAAGAUGUAACGGGGCUAAACCAUGCACCGAAGCUGCGGCAGCGACACAAAGUGUUGUUGGGUAGGGGAGCGUUCUGUAAGCCUGCGAAGGUGUACUGUGAGGUAUGCUGGAGGUAUCAGAAGUGCGAAUGCUGACAUAAGUAACGAUAAUGCGGGUGAAAAACCCGCACGCCGGAAGACCAAGGGUUCCUGUCCAACGUUAAUCGGGGCAGGGUGAGUCGACCCCUAAGGCGAGGCUGAAAAGCGUAGUCGAUGGGAAACGGGUUAAUAUUCCCGUACUGGUGGUAACUGCGAUGGGGGAACGGAGAAGGCUAGGUUGUCCGGGCGACGGUCGUCCCGGUUCAAGCAGGUAGGCAGAGUGAUUAGGCAAAUCCGGUCACUUAAUGCUGAGAUGUGAUGACGAACCACUAAGGUGGUGAAGCAAUUGAUGCCCCGCUUCCAGGAAAAGCCUCUAAGCUUCAGGUUACCAACAAUCGUACCCCAAACCGACACAGGUGGUCAGGUAGAGAAUACUCAGGCGCUUGAGAGAACUCGGGUGAAGGAACUAGGCAAAAUGGUGCCGUAACUUCGGGAGAAGGCACGCUGGCGGUAGGUAAAGUCCCUUGCGGACGGCGCUGAAGCCAGUCGAAGAUACCAGCUGGCUGCAACUGUUUAUUAAAAACACAGCACUGUGCAAACACGAAAGUGGACGUAUACGGUGUGACGCCUGCCCGGUGCUGGAAGGUUAAUUGAUGGGGUCAGCCGCAAGGCGAAGCUCCUGAUCGAAGCCCCAGUAAACGGCGGCCGUAACUAUAACGGUCCUAAGGUAGCGAAAUUCCUUGUCGGGUAAGUUCCGACCUGCACGAAUGGCGUAAUGAUGGCCAGGCUGUCUCCACCCGAGACUCAGUGAAAUUGAACUCGCUGUGAAGAUGCAGUGUACCCGCGGCAAGACGGAAAGACCCCGUGAACCUUUACUAUAGCUUGACACUGAACAUUGAGCCUUGAUGUGUAGGAUAGGUGGGAGGCUUUGAAGUGUGGACGCCAGUCUGCAUGGAGCCAACCUUGAAAUACCACCCUUUAACGUUUGAUGUUCUAACCUAGGCCCAUAAACUGGGUCGGGGACCGUGUCUGGUGGGUAGUUUGACUGGGGCGGUCUCCUCCUAAAGAGUAACGGAGGAGCACGAAGGUUGGCUAAGCAUGGUCGGACAUCAUGCGGUUAGUGCAAAGGCAUAAGCCAGCUUGACUGCGAGAGUGACGGCUCGAGCAGGUACGAAAGUAGGUCUUAGUGAUCCGGUGGUUCUGAAUGGAAGGGCCAUCGCUCAACGGAUAAAAGGUACUCCGGGGAUAACAGGCUGAUACCGCCCAAGAGUUCAUAUCGACGGCGGUGUUUGGCACCUCGAUGUCGGCUCAUCACAUCCUGGGGCUGAAGUAGGUCCCAAGGGUAUGGCUGUUCGCCAUUUAAAGUGGUACGCGAGCUGGGUUUAGAACGUCGUGAGACAGUUCGGUCCCUAUCUGCCGUGGGCGUUGGAAGAUUGAGAGGGGUUGCUCCUAGUACGAGAGGACCGGAGUGAACGCACCACUGGUGUUCGGGUUGUCAUGCCAAUGGCAUUGCCCGGUAGCUAAGUGCGGAAGAGAUAACCGCUGAAAGCAUCUAAGCGGGAAACUUGCCUCGAGAUGAGUCUUCCCUGUCNNNNNNNNNNNNNUAAAGGAACGUUUAAGACUAAGACGUUGAUAGGCUGGGUGUGUAAGCGUAGCGAUACGUUGAGCUAACCAGUACUAAUGAACCGUGAGGCUUAACC